rnacentral:rRNA from 1 species
AGGGUUCGAUUCGUGGCUCAGGACGAACGCUGGCGGCGUGCUUUACACAUGCAAGUCGAACGGAGUGUAGCGAUACACUCAGUGGCGGACGGGUGAGUAACGCGUGAGCAACCUGCCUUGUACAACGGGAUAACACAGAGAAAUUUGUGCUAAUACGGUAUAAGACCACAGUGGGGCAUCCCACAGGGGGUAAAAGAAAAUCGGUACAAGAGGGGCUCGCGUCCCAUUAGCUAGUUGGCGGGGUAACGGCCCACCAAGGCGACGAUGGGUAGCCGAUCUGAGAGGAUGACCGGCCACACUGGAACUGAGACACGGUCCAGACUCCUACGGGAGGCAGCAGUGGGGAAUAUUGGGCAAUGGAGGAAACUUCUGACCCAGCAACGCCGCGUGAAUGAAGAAGGUCUUCGGAUUAGUAAAGUUCUUUAAUUGGUGAAGAAAAGAAAUGACGGUAGACCAAAGAAUAAGCCACGACUAACUACGUGCCAGCCGCUGC